AGUGAACGCUGGCGGUAGGCCUAACACAUGCAAGUCGAACGGCAGCACAGUAAGAGCUUGCUCUUACGGGUGGCGAGUGGCGGACGGGUGAGGAAUACAUCGGAAUCUACUUUUUCGUGGGGGAUAACGUAGGGAAACUUACGCUAAUACCGCAUACGACCUACGGGUGAAAGCAGGGGAUCUUCGGACCUUGCGCGAUUGAAUGAGCCGAUGUCGGAUUAGCUAGUUGGCGGGGUAAAGGCCCACCAAGGCGACGAUCCGUAGCUGGUCUGAGAGGAUGAUCAGCCACACUGGAACUGAGACACGGUCCAGACUCCUACGGGAGGCAGCAGUGGGGAAUAUUGGACAAUGGGCGCAAGCCUGAUCCAGCCAUACCGCGUGGGUGAAGAAGGCCUUCGGAUUGUAAAGCCCUUUUGUUGGGAAAGAAAAGCAGCAGGUGAAUACCCCGCUGUUCUGACGGUACCCAAAGAAUAAGCACCGGCUAACUUCGUG
rnacentral:rRNA from 1 species